GGGUUCUUAGCUCAGUUGGCUAGAGCGCCACCUCGACACGGUGGAGGUCACUGGUUCGAGCCCAGUAGGACCCA
rnacentral:tRNA from 1 species